AGUCCAAAGUGUGAGAAAAGACCACCUUAGAAACCGAAUUGGGCCAAAUUGUGAGUCUUUAUUUACUGGCCAGGACUACUCCUGUCCUGCAGAGUGGCAGGCACAGGAAGUAGUGAUGAGAGUGGAAAACGGCCCUUUUUUAAAGGCAAAUAAACAACAACACACUCUGAAAAGCUAAUUAGCAAGCACUUUUACAGAAGUGAGAGAAAGCAUUAAUCUUACAUUUUUAUCUUGUUUUAGCACAAUGGGGGGUUGGAGCCUUGAGAUGGGUUUUGUAGGAGUCACCGGCUGCAGUUAAGUAAGAUUCAGCCCAGAGGAUUACCCUAAAGUAUCCUAAUUUAUGGACAACAUCAAUCUUAGUACAUCCUGCAUCCUGUGGUCUAAGCCAGAACUCGUUUUACUGGGUACACGAAGCAUGUCAGGCGCCUCAGGUGUCCAGGGCGCUUCGACCCUGGCCUAGAGGCUAUAUAUUUUGGGGGGGGGCAGUUGUGCCAUGCACCACCACCCUUAGUUUUUAAACUUAAUCACACUAGCAGAGUUAGGAUGGCAGGUGUGGAGUCAGAUAAGGGUCAACUGAAAAUUUCCCACUCUCCAAGCAAGCAAGCAAGCAUAAUACAGAAGCUAAUGGCUGGUUAUUGGCUAUCUAUGGGCCCUAGGCCCUAACAGCUUCAGCCUUUCAAGUAGCUGGGACUACAGGUACACAUCACCACAUCCAGCUAAUUUCUCUAUUUUUGCUGAGGCUGGUCUUGAACUCCUGGCCUCCCAGAGUGCUGGGAUUACAGGCCUGAGCAACUGAGCCCAGCCCAAAUUUCAAGACAGUUUUUUCUCCACCUAGAAGGCAGGCAGAGACAAACUUCCUUGUUGAAGCGCUGUAUUGGUGAGAGGAUUUUUCUACAUUUCACUUUAGGUUUCUAGCUUUAUGUGGAAGGAUGUCUUUUCCAAUGUGCUUUCAAUUUCCUGUAUGGUGGGGCCCAAGGUCUUCACUUCUGGACCCAAGUGGGGUGACUGAUGCUGGCCGCUCCUCGGCCAUUCCCCCGUCUCUGCCACCUGGGACUUCCCUUUCUUUGUGGAGAGCCCAACUCCUGUGAGAGCCUCCGUGCAGCACCUCAAGGUGUUUGUUGCAGGAGGCGGAAGUCACACCUUCGUAGGGGGCAUGUGGUCCUCUCCUACCUGCGUACGAUCUCUGUUUAGGUCUUGUCGACACUUGUGAUUUUAUGUGAUAUAUGGUUUAGCGAAUUAAUUUUGGUCUGAGGUAAAGCUAAUUUCUGAAGUCAGAUGCUACGUGAAUUGAUAUAUGUGGGGUUUGAGCGCUGACCUUUGACGUUUUCUGACUGUCAGUCUUUGGCGCCAGGGAAGGGCAAGACUGGUAAAAGGAAAUUCUCAGACACCAGGCAAGGGAGGAGCCGUGCAGGACAGUGUGGCUGUCAAGGGAGUAGUCUUGACCUGGAACAGAGGGGUGGUGCGGGCGCCCCAAGCCCAUUGAGACAGGAGGCUCCUGGGGCAGGUGGAGAGAGCGUGACUCUCAGAGCCAGACAGAUUGGUGGGCCAGAUGCAUCUCUGCCAGUUAUUACCUGGGCCAGCUCCAGCACAUUCCAGAACCUCUGUGAAUUGAGUCUUCACCUAUUAAUAUUAUACUUGGGGUGAAUGUCACGGACCAUGCAGCAUGUUGGGACAAUUAAGCAUAACAAUGUGAAUGAAAUGCCUUGCUUCGUUUGGAUGCUCAAUAAACGUUCCUUCCUUCUCUCUAUUCCUUAUUGUUUGAGGCUGCAAGUCCCAAGAAAUAGGAUUGAAAGAACAGCCAAUUAACCUGGGAGCUAAAGCAAAGGAGCGUGAAAGAGACGGAACAACUCACUAAAUAGAACAAGCUGUGCAUGGGCAGUGUGUCCGCUCUGCGUGUAUUGUUCACACUUCACAAUGCAGAAUAGCGAUUUUGCAAGGGGGUGGGGGUUGUUUCCCCCUCACAAUGGACUCCUGGGCCCCUGGCAUUUCCUACUUGCUCUUUUAAUGAGCCAUCCUGUGGGAUAGAAGCUAACCACUAUCUUGGCUUCUGUACCUUAGCUUUUGUAAUUUGCUUGCUUGCUUGCCACUUAGCCUGACUGAAGCCAUGACAGGCUUCUACAAAGUAAAAGAAAAAAAAAAGAGAGAGAGAACAAACAAGGCCCCAGGGAGGAAACCGGUAAGGUACUACCUGAUAAGGUAGUGCAAAGUCCCUGGGACCUAGCCAACCAAUCAAUAAAUCAAUACACGGCCAGCAUGAUCAGCGCGUGAACAGCUUGAGUGGGAUGUGUGGGUGCUGGGUGGGCUCUGGAUACCACUUGUAACCAGUCACCUGAGUUGCACAACAACUAAAAGUAUAAAACCUGUGCUGAAACCUUGCCAAGGGUCCUUGUCUAAAGAGACCACUGAGCUGGUGCUCUGGGACCUGGACCCUAGCUCGAGCUAGCUUAAAUAAACCUCCAUUUGUUGCUUACGUUGGUGUGAGCUUGUUACUCUGACAUUCUGUUCUGAGAUACAGAAUUCUUGGACACAACAAUCCCUGUUGCUGACCGGAUGAGCGUAGACUACACGCAGUUAAUCUAGUGACCUUCCCUACAGUGGGGAGGGAUGUCACGCCAUAAUCUCCCCCAACUCUGAGGCUAGGGCACUGUGAGUCCUCAGGAAUGAAAACCCAGAACCCCCAGAGACAGACAUCUACCAGCAAAAAGCCAGAUGGAUUUCUCCAGGCCUCUGCAAUCGCGUGGAUCUCUUCAGAUGUUUGCCAUCUACCCCGACUGAGAAGAGCCUCCUCCUGGCUGGGGAGGCCUCUCCUGCCCCUCCCUUACCAACCACAGGGGCUUCAGCCAGCAAGGAGGGCGUAUCCCUUACCUCACGUGUCACAGGGCAGUUGGGACGGGAGUGACCCUGAGGCUUCUGCCUCCCUAAGACUGCACUGACCUCCAACUCAGACUGAAGAGCUCUUUGGUGCAUGUUGACUUUUAUUGAGAUAAAAUGAAUCAUUUUAAUCAUUUAAAUAUGCACAGUUCAGUGGUUUUUAGUGUAUUCACAAAGAUGUGCAAAUACCACCACUAUCUAAUUCCAGAACAUUUCCAUCUCUCCUAAAAGAAAGCUGCUAUUCAUUAGCAGUCACUCCCAAUUUUCUUCUCCGCCAUCCUCUGGCAACUCCUAAUCUAUCUUUUUCUU